UAAUUUUUCGCUGUUUGUGCUUAAGCUGAACCGGAUCAACUUGCUUUAUUGGACCGAAUUAAUUAUUCUAUAUAUUUCUAUUUUUGAACCAGAUUUCUUUUUNGAGGUGAGGUAGAGGCGGAGGAGCCGGCCGGUGGUGGCGGAGGAGUCGGCCGGUGGUGGCGACAAAAUUGGGGAAGAAAGAGAGGAUAAUCUUAGGGAUUACUAUAAUAAAGUAGGGGCAAAAUAGGUAUUUUGUUCAGGUUUUAACUCUAGUAUAGAUUUAACCCAUGUUUAACCCGAGUUAAGCUAACAGGGGAUAACUGCGGGGGUAUUUUGGAAUAACGGUGGAACGUAUGAGGGACAUUUUAGAAAGAAAAAAAAAGUAGGGGUAGAUCGGAUAUUUUCGAACGCAUGAAGGGUAUAUAGGCAAUUAUCCCUAAUAAAAAAAUAAACAUCUAUGUCUAUACAUUAUUUUUCUUAAAUUUUGUCAUAUGGUAUUAUUAUCUUUUUUGUUAAAUUAAAUAUGGGCUCCACCAUUUUUUUUUUGUUUGAACCAAAUCAUGUUGUUGGGUGCCACCUUGAACCGGCUCAAAUCCUCCAAAUAAUUAUAUAAUUUUUCGCUGUCUGUGCUUAAACCAAACCGGAUCAACUUGCUUUAUUGGACCGAAUUAAUUAUUCUAUAUAUUUCUAUCUUUGAACUGAAUUUCUUUUUAUCAGAAUCGAACUAAUAAUGCUAAACCGGGUCAACUUACUUCAUUAGAUCGAACUAAACCAAUUGCUCUAUAUAUUUUUAUCUUUGAACCAGAUGUCUCUUUUAAUUUAUCUGAAUCGAACCAAUAAUUAUUGAAUAAGAGCUCCACCCUGAACUAGCUCAAGUUCUCUUCUUUUUUUGUUUGAACCAAACCAGAUUUUUUUUUCUUUGCUUAAACCGAACCAGUGCCCUCUUUCUUGCUUGAACCGAGCUUGGUCAAAUCUAUACCCUUUUUCUCUUCUUUUUGUUUUUAUAGAAAUUCUCAUUAAGGACUUUUUUUUAGAAAACAAGAAAAUUAACUAAUAUUUGUAUUAAUUUAUUAUUAAUAUUGAUAUAAAAUAUAAUAAUAAAAUAUUUAGCAAACAUGUAAUACCUUCAUUUAUUUUUAAACUGUUAACUCAUACAUAUAGAUUGCCUACACGUUUGAAUAAUUUAUAAUCAAUUAAAUAUAAAUUAUUUAAAAAUUUAUGAAAAUAUAUAUCAUUAAUAUUUUUAUUUUUUAAAAAAAUUUUCUGCACGUCGCAUUGCACGGGUUACUACACUAGUUAAAUAAUAUAUUUAAAGGUUAAUUGCUUAUAUACCUCUGAAAAUUUUUAAUUUUCUAAUUUAUUCUUCUUAGAAGGUUAAUAUUGAAAAUAUAUUUUUUAUAUUUCAACCUAUUUCAAAUAUACCCCUAAAGUUAAAUUCUAUUAAUAAUUGUUAGCAAUAACUGUUAUCUCAAUGAAAUUACUAUUUUGUCAUUUCAAAUAUACUUUUAUACCAUCACCGACUUUUCUUAUUUGCUAGGGCUAUAAAAAAUAUUUUAAUGUUUGAUCUUUUUAAAUAUACCCUUAUGCCAUCAUCAAUAUUUUUUAUUUGUCCUUAUGUUAAGAACAAAAUAGGCAUUUUGAUUUUUUUUAAAUUCUGAUAGAUAUUUAAUUCACGUUUAACACAUGUUAAUUUAACGAAUGGUAACUGUAAAGAUAUUUUAGAACAAAAGAGGAAUAUAUAAGGGGUAUAUAAAAAAGAAAAAAAAAAGUAAAUAAAAUAUUUUCAAAAUUUUAAGAAGUAUAUAGGCAAUUAU
rnacentral:lncRNA from 1 species